GGUUGAACUCCUUUGAUGAAGCUUUUGUUGGCACCAUAAAUUGGUUUUGCUUCACACUGUCUUGAUCAAAAAUGUGUGAAGCUUUUGAGAAUUAUGGUUGCCCUCCAUUGAUAAAGCUCUUGUUGGCACCAUAAAUUGGUUUUGCUUCACACUGUCUUGAUCAAGAGUGUGUGAAGCUUUUGAGAAUUGUGGUUGAACUCCUUUGAUGAAGCUUUUAUUGGCACCAUAAAUUGGUUUUGCUUCACACUGUCUUGAUCAAGAGUGUGUGAAGCUUUUGAGAAUUGUGG
rnacentral:lncRNA from 1 species